rnacentral:tRNA from 1 species
GCCGGCGUAGCUCAGUGGUAGAGCAAUGCACUCGUAAUGCAUAGGUCAAGGGUUCAAGUCCCUUCGCCGGCUCCA